AUAGGACAAUUUGGAUCUAAUGAAAUACCUGUUUAUGGCAGUUGACUCAGAGUUCUUUUGAGAAGGAAGUCAUGUCUCUGGUUUCAUCUGCUGACUUGUAAGUUAAAUUGGUGUUGUCUUACAGAGCUACAAGGGACUACAGAAAUAUUGGUAAGGGACCACCACCCAUGUGUGAGGAUAAUCCCAGUGGUUUUGAAGUAGAAAAUUUGUGGAAUACAACAUGCAGUCGAUUGACUCAAGGAAAGUGAGGCAAGGAGAGACAGGUCUUCUACUCAGAGUGACAUGGAAUGGUGGUCCACUGCUUUAUACCCAGGGAGUUUGACUCAAGAGUCCAUGCUCUAUGAAAUCAUCUCUUUCAAAUAUGUGGGACCUGCCACCGAGGCCUCCAGCUGGACAUGGGACCCAAAUGAUCAAAAUAGGCAUCACCAGUAGCUGUGAAGGUACACUCAGAGUGGAGCACACCAUUUACAGUAUUUCUAUCUAUGCUGCACAACCAUGUCUGACGAUGAAAGAAAGCAAAAAGCGUGUGUGUUGGUGGGUGCGUAUUUAUGAUAUG